UCAGUCGGCCGGACGGCCGCUCCGCCACCUUGCAAAAGACGGCGGAGAGGAAAGUCCGGGCUCCAUGGACAAACGGUGCCGGAUAACGUCCGGCGGGGGCGACCCCAGGGACAGUGCCACAGAGAACGAACCGCCGCGGCAUGCCGCGGCAAGGGUGAAAAGGUGCGGUAAGAGCGCACCGCGCUGCCAGCAAUGGCAGCGGCAUGGCAAACCCCACCGGGAGCAAAACCGAAUAGGGACGGCGCGCGGGGCCGUCGCGCAAGCGAAACGCCCGCUGGGGAUGUCCGCCCCAGCCGUCCGGGUUGGUUGCUUGAGGCGCGGCGCAAGCCGCGUCCCAGAGGAAUGGCCGUCACGUCCGGCGUCGCCUCGCGCGGCGCCGGGCCUUCCAGAACCCGGCUUACAGGCUGGCUGAUACC
rnacentral:RNase_P_RNA from 1 species